ACGGCAGUACCAUGCUGAAUAUACCGGUUCUCGUUAGAUCACCGAAGUCAAGCAUCAUUGGGCGCGGUCAGUACUUGGGUGGGUGACCACCUGGGAACACUGCGUGCCGUU
rnacentral:rRNA from 1 species